rnacentral:rRNA from 1 species
ACGAACGCUGGCGGCGUGCUUAACACAUGCACGUCGAACGGAAAGGCCCUGCUUUUGUGGGGUGCUCGAGUGGCGAACGGGUGAGUAACACGUGAGUAACCUGCCCUUAACUUUGGGAUAACUUCAGGAAACUGGGGCUAAUACCGGAUAGGAGCUCCUGCUGCUUGGUGGGGGUUGGAAAGUUUUGGCGGUUGGGGAUGGACUCGCGGCUUAUCAGCUUGUUGGUGGGGUAGUGGCUUACCAAGGCUUUGACGGGUAGCCGGCCUGAGAGGGUGACCGGCCACGUUGGGACGGAGAUGCGGCCCAGACUCCUACGGGAGGCAACAGUGGGGUAUAUUGCACAAUGGGCUGAAGCCUGAUGCAGCAACGCCGCGUGCGGGAUGACGGCCUUCGGGUUGUAUACCGCUUUCGCCUGUGACGAAGCGUGAGUGACGGUAAUGGGUAAAGAAGCACCGGCUAACUACGUG